rnacentral:rRNA from 1 species
GACGAACGCUGUCGGCGUGCUUAACACAUGCAAGUCGAACGAUGAAGCCGGAGCUUGCUCUGGUGAAUUAGUGGCGAACGGGUGAGUAACACGUGAGUAACCUGCCCUUGACUCUGGGAUAACUGCUAGAAAUGGUAGCUAAUACCGGAUACGACCCUCGGAGGCAUCUUCAGGGGGUGGAAAGAAUUUCGGUCAAGGAUGGACUCGCGGCCUAUCAGCUAGUUGGUGAGGGAAUGGCUCAACAAGGCGACGACGGGUAGCCGGCCUGAGAGGGUGACCGGCCACACUGGGACUGAGACACGGCCCAGACUCCUACGGGAGGCAGCAGGGGGGAAUAUUGCACAAGGGGCGCAAGCCUGAUGCAGCAACGCCGCGUGAGGGAUGACGGCCUUCGGGUUGUAAACCUCUUUUAGUAGGGAAGAAACGAAAGUGACGGUACCUGCAGAAAAAGCACCGGCUAACUACGUGCCAGCCGCCGCCGUAA